rnacentral:lncRNA from 1 species
ACCAAACCAUCUCGACGAUUAGGUCAACUCUUAACCUAAUCGGGUCAAAUCCAACUGAAUCCAAUUCAAUUGGACUUGAUCCAAAAAUAAUUACUCCAUCAAAUUGAGUUAAUUAGUGAUCAAAUCACUAAUUAAACCUCUCAUAAAUACUGAGUCCAAAUCCGAUGGGUAAUCGGGCAUCAGAAUUCAUUGAUAUGUAACCCUGAUCGAAGAGUCCCAAACCAGUG